GUAACAAGGUUUCCGUAGGUGAACCUGCGGAAGGAUCAUUACAGUGCCAGCGGGAGCGUCGCGGCCGUCCCCCCUAACCCGGGGGGCCGUGUUCGAUCGGCGCCCUGCGACCGGCCCCACACUUGUCUACAGACCGCGUUGCCUCGGCGGGCCCGCCGCUUAGUCGGCCGCCGGGGGGGGACUAAUUCUCCCCCCUGGUCAGCGCCCGCCGGAGGACCGAUCGAAAUAUCUUUUUUAACGAGUUGCAGUCUGAGCGAUAAUCGCAAAUGAAUCAAAACUUUCAACAAUGGAUCUCUUGGUUCCGGCAUCGAUGAAGAACGCAGCGAAAUGCGAUAAGUAAUGUGAAUUGCAGAAUUCCGUGAAUCAUCGAAUCUUUGAACGCACAUUGCGCCCUCUGGUAUUCCGGGGGGCAUGCCUGUCCGAGCGUCAUUGCAACCCUCAAGCACGGCUUGUGUUAUGGGCUUCCCGUCCCGCUAUCUCAGUGGACGAGCCCGAAAUGCAGUGAUCGCCGCCGCGAUACCGGCGCCCGAGCGAAUGGGAAUUUACACCAAAGCUCAAUGGGCCCGGCCGGCAGUUUCGGUCCUACAACCAUUUUUUUUUUUCUAAGGUUGACCUCGGAUCAGGUAGGGAUACCCGCUGAACUUAAGCAUAUCAAUAA
rnacentral:misc_RNA from 1 species